rnacentral:tRNA from 6 species
GGUAGGGUGGCCGAGUGGUUUAAGGCGGCAGUCUUGAAAACUGCUGUGUCAGAAAUGGCACCGUGAGUUCGAAUCUCACCCCUACCG